CAACGAGCGCAACCCUUGUCUUUAGUUGCCAUCAUUAAGUUGGGCACUCUAGAGAGACUGCCAGGGAUAACCUGGAGGAAGGUGGGGAUGACGUCAAAUCAUCAUGCCCCUUAUGCUUAGGGCUACACACGUGCUACAAUGGGUAGUACAGAGGGUUGCAAAGCCGUAAGGUGGAGCUAAUCCCUUAAAGCUACUCUCAGUUCGGAUUGUAGGCUGAAACUCGCCUACAUGAAGCUGGAGUUACUAGUAAUCGCAGAUCAGAAUGCUGCGG
rnacentral:rRNA from 1 species